ensembl:lncRNA
AUUCUUCAGUGCUAAUGGCCUGCUGCACCCCAGAGUCCUGUCAGACAACAUCUACAAAGAACACUGAACCAUAUGGCUAAUAACCUAACCUCAAAUAUACACUAUUGUUCAAAAUUCAGUAAGAUAUUUUAUGUUUUAACACAAUUCACACAUAACACAUCUCAUUACCGUGCACUACAGUUAUAUGUGAUGAAAUAAAUCAUCUUUUAUGUGAAAUAAUACGAACAGCAGCUAUGCUAAUCUUUCUCCUUUUGGUUUCCUGUUUCUAUCCCGGGAUGCCCAUCUCAAAGUUACUAGAGAUUACGCCAGUUCCAGUUUGGAUCCAGCCUUCAGAAAACACCAACACUCACAAUGACUUCAGAUGAUGACAACUAUAGAUGAACAUACAAGUCUGCCAAAUAUUAUCCUUAUAUUGUGAUCAUUGCCCUAAAAGGUAAGUUCACAGAUUGUCAACCAGCUUUCUAUUGUUACAGUGUUAUAUGUAAAUGAACAAUGAUUACCUGUUCUCUGAAUUACAUGUACCAAAAUAUCACCAUUUAUUUGGAGGCAAAACUCUGCCAGAUGAUGCAAAAGGUUGACUGCAUGUCUCACUUGUGUGUCCUCUUUAGCUGUGUUUUCUGCCUUUGUAUUCUCACUGUUCAUUUACACUCAAACUAUUAUACAACUAUUCUACUACUAUUAAAUUAUUAAUCAGUUUGGGCAUCUUUUUACCAUGUUUACAUAAAAAAAAGUAAAAAGUAUAAUAGUGACUUUAUUAAAUGACCCACUAUGAAAAUACAGUUUUACUGUGUUAUCGAUGUCUUUUUCUCUACUUUAGGGAGAACUUCUCAACAAAUUUAUUUUUAUUGCAGGUUUUCUGGUUUCCCAGUUGAAGACAUCAGAACAUCAAAUGUCUGGACAGCUGUACCUACAGUACACCACACUGACCUCUCUGCUUUUGCACGGAUAUCUUACUACUACCAUGUUCUGUGAAGGGAAGCGAUGUGUCUGCAGCGGGAACUGGCAGUCGCGUUCUAGUGCGAGGCGUGUCAACGGCGAGCAGUUCAGCGGAGAUCAGCGAAGCGAUGUGACGUCGUCACUGCAGGAGAAGAAACUGAAUUCCUGUGGCGAAGCGGCCAAUAUAUAGCCAGAUCCCCCACCCAAUUUGGCGGGCUUCGCUGCCAUAGGUUCGUGCAGCACCCCAGCCGAGCCAUUGGUUUGUUUUAAUAACACUGCCCGAACCAAUGGCCGUGCAGUUUCACUGCGUGAUUGAAUAAGGCUUCAGUUCAGGAGAAAAAAGGAGUUUUUCCCAUAGCAUCUUCGACGCAGUAUGAGUGAAGUAUUGAAAGGGAACUGUUUUUAACAUUGAUAAUUAUCAGAAAUAUUUCUUGAGCAUGAAAUUAAAUUGUAAUGGAUUCUAAAGGACCACGUGACACUGAAAACUGGCAUAAUGAUGCAGAAACUUCUGCUUUGCAUCACAGGAAUAACAUUACAUUUUAUAAUAUAAUAAAAUAGAAAACUUCAACA